UAGCUAGUUGGUGAGGUAACGGCUUACCAAGGCGACGAUCUGUAGCGGGUCUGAGAGGAUGAUCCGCCACACUGGGACUGAGACACGGUCCAGACUCCUACGGGAGGCAGCAGUGGGGAAUUUUGGACAAUGGGGGCAACCCUGAUCCAGCCAUGCCGCGUUAGUGAAGAAGGCCUUCGGGUUGUAAAGCUCUUUCGGCCGGGAAGAAAUCGCAUGGGCCAAUACCCUGUGUGGAUGACGGUACCGGAAUAAGAAGCACCGGCUAACUACGUGCCAGCAGCCGCGGUAAUACGUAGGGUGCGAGCGUUAAUCGGAAUUACUGGGCGUAAAGCGUGCGCAGGCGGUUUUGUAAGACAGGCGUGAAAUCCCCGGGCUCAACCUGGGAACUGCGUUUGUGACUGCAAGGCUAGAGUACGGCAGAGGGGGGUGGAAUUCCACGUGUAGCAGUGAAAUGCGUAGAGAUGUGGAGGAACACCAAUGGCGAAGGCAGCCCCCUGGGUCGAUACUGACGCUCAUGCACGAAAGCGUGGGUAGCAAACAGGAUUAGAUACCCUGGUAGUCCACGCCCUAAACUAUGUCAACUAGGUGUUGGGUGGGUAAAACCAUUUAGUACCGUAGCUAACGCGUGAAGUUGACCGCCUGGGGGGUACGGCCGCAAGGUUAAAACUCAAAGGAAUUGACGGGGACCCGCACAAGCGGUGGAUGAUGUGGAUUAAUUCGAUGCAACGCGAAAAACCUUACCUACCCUUGACAUGCCAGGAACUUGCCAGAGAUGGCUUGGUGCCCGAAAGGGAGCCUGGACACAGGUGCUGCAUGGCUGUCGUCAGCUCGUGUCGUGAGAUGUUGGGUUAAGUCCCGCAACGAGCGCAACCCUUGUCGUUAAUUGCCAUCAUUUAGUUGGGCACUUUAGCGAGACUGCCGGUGACAAACCGGAGGAAGGUGGGGAUGACGUCAAGUCCUCAUGGCCCUUAUGGGUAGGGCUUCACACGUCAUACAAUGGUCGGUACAAAGGGUCGCCAAGCCGCGAGGUGGAGCCAAUCCCAGAAAGCCGAUCGUAGUCCGGAUUGCAGGCUGCAACUCGCCUGCAUGAAGUCGGAAUCGCUAGUAAUCGUGGAUCAGCAUGUCACGGUGAAUACGUUCCCGGGUCUUGUACACACCGCCCGUCACACCAUGGGAGCGGGUUCCGCCAGAAGUAGGUAGCCUAACCGCAAGGAGGGCGCUUACCACGGCGGGGUUCGUGACUGGGGUGAAGUCGUAACAAGGUAGCCGUAGGGGAACCUGCGGCUG
rnacentral:rRNA from 1 species